CCUACGGGUGGCAGCAGUGAGGAAUAUUGGUCAAUGGACGAGAGUCUGAACCAGCCAAGUAGCGUGAAGGAUGACUGCCCUAUGGGUUGUAAACUUCUUUUAUAAAGGAAUAAAACGAGGCACGUGUGCCUUUUUGCAUGUACUUUAUGAAUAAGGAUCGGCUAACUCCGUGCCAGCAGCCGCGGUAAUACGGAGGAUCCGAGCGCUAUCCGGAUUUAUUGGGUUUAAAGGGAGCGUAGAUGGGUUGUUAAGUCAGUUGUGAAAGUUUGCGGCUCAACCGUAAAAUUGCAAUUGAUACUGGCAGUCGUGAGUACAGUUGAGGUAGGCGGAAUGCGUGGUGUAGCGGUGAAAUGCUUAGAUAUCACGAAGAACUCCGAUUGCGAAGGCAGCUUACUAAACUGCCACUGACAUUGAUGCUCGAAAGUGUGGGUAUCAAACAGGAUUAGAUACCCCUGUAGUC
rnacentral:rRNA from 1 species